rnacentral:rRNA from 1 species
UGGGGAAUAUUGCACAAUGGGCGCAAGCCUGAUGCAGCCAUGCCGCGUGUGUGAAGAAGGCCUUCGGGUUGUAAAGCACUUUCAGCGAGGAGGAAGGUGGUGGACUUAAUACGUUCAUCAAUUGACGUUACUCGCAGAAGAAGCACCGGCUAACUCCGUGCCAGCAGCCGCGGUAAUACGGAGGGUGCAAGCGUUAAUCGGAAUUACUGGGCGUAAAGCGCACGCAGGCGGUUUGUUAAGUCAGAUGUGAAAUCCCCGGGCUCAACCUGGGAACUGCAUUUGAAACUGGCAAGCUAGAGUCUCGUAGAGGGGGUAGAAUUCCAGGUGGUAGCGGUGAAAUGCGUAGAGAUCUGGAGGAAUACCGGUGGCGAAGGCGGCCCCCUGGACGAAGACUGA